CUCUUCCUGAGAAUCAAAGAAGUUGGGGGAACACAGGAGAAAAACAGCAGACCAAGAGGUCCUGCCAUAGGAGCAGAAAUCUUCCAGGACCUCAAGGCUGCAUGAUGUGUGGCAAACCUGAGAAUAUCUGCGAUCAGGAGUGAUUCAGAGCUACCGCUUCCAGGCAUAGCAGAGCAAAGGGGCCUCCAUAAGCCAACUAGAAGGGAGGAGAGAAAAGGCACAGGGAGCAAAAGAGAACCCAAGAAUGUUACCUCCCGUGGCAGAAGGGACUGUACAGGUAUGAUGAAGUUAAGAACCUUGAGAUGGGAGAUUAUUCAGAUUGUAGAUGGAGCCUAAUGAAACCAUGGGAAGAAUCAGAGACUUGGUGACAGAAGCAGAGGUUGGAGGAUGAGCAGUGAAGAUGGAAGAAGGGUCACAAGCUUAAGAGUGGUGGCCUGUGGACACUGGAAAAUGCGAGGGAAGGGAUUCUUUCCUGGAGCCUCCACUAGGACCCCAGCUGUAGUGAUGCCUUAAAAACCAGUGAAGCUGAUGGCAGGCAUCUGACCUGCAGAACUGUAAACUACUAAGUCUGUUUUGUUUUCAGUCGUUUCAAGUAUGUCGUAAUUUGUUAGAGCAGACACAAGAAGCUAAUACGACUGUCUUGGGUUGU